GAUGGGGUAGCUCAGUGGUUAUAGUGUGGGUCUACUAAUCAAAAUGUUAUGAGUUCAAAUCCCAGCACUGCCA